AACCAUACGCUAUGCGUAUGGUUCAGAAAAGGUUCUACCAUUGUCACAAAAAAUGCAUCUCUACGUGCUAGAAUAAAUAUUGGUCAGCCAACCAAAAUAAUCAACACGAGGAGAU
rnacentral:misc_RNA from 1 species